ACGAGGGGGAGUGCAUCGAGCCAGAUCAGAUCAUUUCCUUCCCGUGUCACCGGGCUAGGGUUGACCGUGCGCCAUGCACGGAGACGCGGGAGGUGGGGACAUACAUGCCGGUGGGGGAGGGGAGGAGCCAUGCAGCGGUCGGAUGUGGUACAUCUGGCAGCACACGAGGCGUCGAGGUGGAUCCAUGGCGGUCUCACCGCCAUGGCGGGCCCAGAUCUGACCAGGGGGAGACCGCGGGAUGUGGAGAGGGAGCGGACGCAUCAUAUCCCCCCCCCCCACCUACCUCCAUUAUUGAGAGCCGCAACUCUCAUCUCGCUCCGCUCUUCGGGCACCUAUGGGAGAAAACUAGGGUUUGCCAUUCCUCUUCUCCCCCCUCGCGAGAUUCCUUCGGGUGGUUGCGCGGCAAGGUUGGCGGCGAUGAGCGCUCCUUUGCUCUCAGGUGGCGGGUGCUCGCACGCGCGGGCGCGGUACUUCGCCCGCAUCGAUGGGAGAUCGCGGUGGAGGCAGAUCUGGAGGAUGGCGCGACUCCUCGGCGCGCGGUGGGUUCGGCGGAGGACACAAGACGGCGCAAGCGAAUCCCUCUCGCCACAUGGUGUGGCAGCGCCCAGAUCCACCGCCGCCGCCAUCUGGAGGGGCGAGAUCUGGCGGAGGUACUGAAGAUCGAUGGGAGGCUGCGGCACGGCGAUGGGAGGAGACGCCAAGGCAUCGGCGAAUACGACGACGUCGAAGGCUCACACGGCAUCAUCGGCAACAGUUGAUGCUCCAGAUCCAGCUGCCAAGGUCAACGACAAGCUCUGCCUCAACUGCAACCUUCCAGGUCACUUUGCUCCACGCUGUCCUACUGUUCGUUGUGAGAAAUGCAAUAAGCUUGGGCAUAUGGCGCAGUUGUGUCAAACACUGAGGCCGUGGGAGUGCGUGCCUUUUCUCUGUGGAUUCCAAUCCCCUGGGCAGGGCUUUUUCUAUAUCCCUGAUAUGUGUGCUGCUAAAAAGAAUGAGAAAACGAACAAUGUGAUGAUUUCUAUUGUGGAGGGGAGUGCCACAGCUAAAGAAAUUGAGUCUGAGUUUAAUGGUUUCUUUGCUCAUAAGCCUGGUAAAAAUAAAUGGAGUUGUACAGCUCGUCCCAUUGGUCAUAAUCAAUUUGUGAUGAGAUUUCCUAAUUCCAGUGAGGUGGAGAGGGCCUGUUGCUAUGGGAAACGCCUACCUGUGAAAGAUGGGGCUGCUGUGGUCAAUUUAAAGCCCUGGUCAGCUUCAGUUGGUGCUGAAGGGGAGAUGGAAAAAAGCCUGGGUUAGAGUUAGUAAUAUUCCUUUAGAGAAAAGAUGUUCUAAACAUGUUGCAUAUGCAGGAGGGUUGGUAGGUAUCACUCUAGAGGUGGAUGAAUCUACUCUGCAUAAGCCUGAGUACGUUAGAAUUCUUCUGGGAUGUAGACAGGUGAAAAAAAUCCCCCCCCCCCCACUGCUGAGGGCAUGUUGGGGGAACAAUUCUAUGACUUUUACUAUGAGGUUGAAAAAUUUGUGACGGCUGGAGGAGAGAAAAAUCAGGCCUCUGUCAUUGUGGACAGCAGUGCAUCGCCUUCUUUCCCAAAGAAAGCCAGGAUGAAUUCAUAUCCUGCUUCUUCUGAUGGGCAGGGGGAAACCAGUGCAUCUAUGAUUGGAAAUUUCUCUUCUCAAAAUUAUGAAAAGGGGACACAAAGACUAUCUGCAGUGGCUGAAAGUGAGGAGGAGGGGGAAAGUGAUGAGGGGAACCAUACUGAGCUUUUGCUCGAAUCUAUGGCCAGAGAAUAUGCAGCUGAUAAAAUGUCUUAUCCUGAAUCACCAGCAGAAAAUUCAUAUGAGCAAAAAUCUGAUGAGAUAUUAGGUGAUGAUAUGGAAAGGUCUCCUAAUGCUGCUGGCAACAUGAAAAAAGGUGCUUGGGAUAUUAUCCAAACUCAUAUUCCUCCAUCUCCGAUGUUUAUGCACUAUGUUGAUGACUCUUAUGGAGAAAAGUUUCCUCCCUUGUCAGAUUAUGUGGUGUGGCCAUCUCUGCCUCAUAUUGUACCCCUUGAGGAAGCGUCUACAGAAGGGGGGACAAUCACAUUGUUUACACUGUUGAAUCGCCAUCUGGGUCUCCAAUGCAUGAUACUAUGGCUCCUGAAGGGCGGGCUUCGCGCAGGCAGUUUCAGAAACUGGAGCGUGUGGAGGAGACGGCCACCAACAGACUGAAGAAGUGCGAUGCUGAAGGACUGCUGAAAGAAGAAGAUAGGUCGAAGUUUCAGGCGGGCGUGAAGAGGUUGGCUUAUGCGGCAGCAGCUCUGGCGGACAGGUCUCACUCGCGAGGUGUGAUGCUCUUGAGGGAUGGAGAUGGGAUCCAGAUCGGCUAACCUGCUCAUUUACCAGUCCACUGGGGUUUGAUGCCCGUUCUGGAAAAAUCUGUGAUGUUGGAAGAUUAUCUCUUUCUAUCCCUGAGAAGGUGUGUAGCCUCUCAGGUUUCGUACUAUGUCUUCGUGGUUAGGGUAGUGGCUUAUCAGUGUCGUCAGGUUUUCGUCCCAUGGCGGUUGAUCCGUUUUAGGGUCUUCUUGUGGUGGGUUUCCUGUCGAUGCUCCAGCUCGCUCCUCCCUUUUCAGUCUUAUUUUGGUUGAUGUCUGGAAAA